rnacentral:rRNA from 1 species
GACAGAGGAUGCAAGCGUUAUCCGGAAUGAUUGGGCGUAAAGCGUCUGUAGGUGGCUUUUUAAGUCUGCCGUCAAAUCCCAGGGCUUAACCCUGGACAGGCGGUGGAAACUACCAAGCUGGAGUACGGUAGGGGCAGAGGGAAUUUCCGGUGUAGCGGUGAAAUGCGCAGAUAUCGGGAGGAACACCAAUGGCGAAGGCAGUUGCCUGGCCCGUUACUGACGCUAAAGCACGAAAGUGUGGGUAGCAAACAGG